rnacentral:rRNA from 1 species
UACGAAGGGGGCUAGCGUUGCUCGGAAUUACUGGGCGUAAAGGGCGCGUAGGCGGCACUGUUAGUCAGGCGUGAAAGUCCUGGGCUCAACCUGGGAACUGCGCUUGAUACGGCAGAGCUAGAGGAUGGAAGAGGCUCGCGGAAUUCCCAGUGUAGAGGUGAAAUUCGUAGAUAUUGGGAAGAACACCGGUGGCGAAGGCGGCGAGCUGGUCCAUUACUGACGCUGAUGAGCGAAAGCCAGGGGAGCAAACGGG